AAGUGGUAAGAAAAUUAUUACUCAUAGGUACGAUUCUCUCUUUUACUAGAACGAUAAGAAUUAUUAGGUGCUUUUAGCCAUGAAAUAUAGUCGUGUGAUGAAUAUUUGUUAUGCGGUGUUUUUAGUGUUUGUAUACUUCCAAGGGGUAACUGCACUUCAGAAGAAGUCCCAUUGCCGAUACAACUGUGAAGACCUCUGUUUGACCAGGGGCAAAAGUGGCGGUGUAUGCAUGCGAAGUACCUGCAAAUGUUUCUCUGUUGUCGAUAGCUGACCUGAGAUGCCUUCCGCCUAUAUUCCCGGGCCCCGGCCAGGACGACUAGAAAAUAUGACAAUCGUAUAUCGAUAAAUUCCAAUCGCCUGAUGUAACAAACAUGAUAUUGUCUCUUCGAAGCAGACAAUACUCGAUUACAUAUUGCUUUCUCUAAAGGGAUUUUCGGAAUUGUUAUAUCUAUUUCACUUUUUUUUAAUUGUAAUUUACAGACUUUUCAGCUCCAUCACGCCUUAAUUUAUGUAAAUCUUACUAAUAGUUUUAUAAAUAAAUUAAAUAAAACAUGGAUUUACAGUUUUA